GGGGAUGUAGCUCAAUGGUAAAGUACGUAUUUAGUAUAUAUGAGGCCCUGAGUUUGAUCUGCAGCAUCACUC
rnacentral:tRNA from 1 species